GACGAACGCUGGCGGCGUGCCUAACACAUGCAAGUCGAACGGGGCUAGGAAAGCUUGCUUUCCGAAGCCUAGUGGCGGACGGGUGAGUAACGCGUGAGUAACCUGCCUUUCAGAGGGGAAUAACGUUCUGAAAAGAACGCUAAUACCGCAUAACGUACAGUUACCGCAUGGUAGCAGUACCAAAGGAGCAAUCCGCUGAAAGAUGGACUCGCGUCCGAUUAGCUAGUUGGUGGGGUAAAGGCCUACCAAGGCGACGAUCGGUAGCCGGACUGAGAGGUUGAACGGCCACAUUGGGACUGAGACACGGCCCAGACUCCUACGGGAGGCAGCAGUGGGGGAUAUUGCACAAUGGGGGAAACCCUGAUGCAGCAACGCCGCGUGUGGGAAGAAGGUUUUCGGAUUGUAAACCACUGUUCUUGGUGAAGAUAAUGACGGUAACCAAGGAGAAAGCUCCGGCUAACUACGUGCCAGCAGCCGCGGUAAUACGUAGGGAGCAAGCGUUGUCCGGAUUUACUGGGUGUAAAGGGUGCGUAGGCGGCUAGGCAAGUCAGACGUGAAAACCAUGGGCUCAACCUGUGGACUGCGUUUGAAACUGUUUAGCUUGAGUGAAGUAGAGGUAGGCGGAAUUCCCGGUG
rnacentral:rRNA from 1 species